UACGUAGGGUGCGAGCGUUAAUCGGAAUUACUGGGCGUAAAGUGUGCGCAGGCGGCGCCGCAAGUCGAGUGUGAAAGCCCCGGGCUUAACUUGGGAAUUGCGCUCGAAACUAUGGUGCUGGAGUGUGGCAGAGGAAGGUGGAAUUCCACGUGUAGCGGUGAAAUGCGUAGAGAUGUGGAGGAACACCGAUGGCGAAGGCAGCCUCCUGGGCCAGCACUGACGCUCAUGCACGAAAGCGUGGGGAGCAAACAGG
rnacentral:rRNA from 1 species